GGAUGUGAGGGUGAUCUGGCUGCGACAUCUGUCACCCCAUUGAUUGUCAGGGUUGAUUCGGCUGAUCUGGCUGGCUAGGCGGGUGUCCCCUUCCUCCCUCACCGCUCCAUGUGCGUCCCUCCCAAAGCUGCGCGCUCGGUGGAAGAGGACGACCAUCCCAGAUAGAAGGAGUGUACCGUUCUUCUGUCAAGGGUAUACAAUAGCUGCACUCCCCUGCUAGAACCUCCAAACAAGCUCAAAGCUGUUUCCAUGGGCUAAUGAUGUUUUCAGCAUGGCCAUUCUAUGUACAUGUGAGAGAACUCAGGACUCUUGCUGAUUGGUUGUUUCCUC